rnacentral:rRNA from 1 species
CACGUAGGGCGCAAGCGUUGUCCGGAAUUAUUGGGCGUAAAGCGCGCGUAGGCGGCCCUGUAAGUCCGUUGUGAAAGUCAAAGGCUCAACCUUUGAAAGCCGAUGGAUACUGCAGGGCUAGAGUCCGGAAGAGGCGAGUGGAAUUCCUGGUGUAGCGGUGGAAUGCGCAGAUAUCAGGAGGAACACCAAUAGCGAAGGCAGCUCGCUGGGACGGUACUGACGCUAAGGCGCGAAAGCGUGGGGAGCGAACAGG